UUAUAGGGGCUCCCCCUGAGUGGGGGUGUGGGGGGAGCCCCACCUGGUUAUAGGGGCUCCCCUGAGUGGGAGUGUGGGGAGAUACCAUACCUGGGUGCUAGAGUGGCUCCUGUGUGGUGAUAUUCCUUCUAGGCUGGGAGUGAGAUGGAAGCCAGCUCUUCUUGGCCAGCUCUUCUUGGCCCUGUGUUCUGCCUGAAGAACUGUAGGAGGACUCAUAAUCAGCUGUGUUUGCAUUUCAAGGUAACUCCAACUAGAGUUUCUUGGUGAAGGCCUUUGUGUCAAAUCUUGAAGAAAACCUCUGCCUCUGUCCUCCGGUUUCACUAAAGGCAAGGAGAAUGAAGUGAGGACCGUGAAUGUGGCUUUCCCUAUUAGCUUAUUUCUCUAUCAAGCUAAAGAGAGCCAGAGCUACCUUAAUCUCAAUGAGGUGAUAAAAUACAAACUGAGUCCCUACAAGGUGCAAAGCCUGUCGGAAGCAGCCGCAGAGGGAUCGGAUACCACCACGCUUAUCUGUUGAGACUCGACAGUGACUGAAAGAUUCUCCCAUAAGGAAAAAACUGCUCCUCUGAGUGAUUGUUUCUAAAUCCAGAAUGCAUACAGAAUCCUGAAUACAAUAAAAAACAACAACAAAACCACCUAAGUAGAAAAUGAGUUCCAAUAUUAAAAGCCCCUUCAUUAUGAAAUCUACUGGAAAAAAAAAAACAACAACAACAAAUCUAACACUCCUUGGCUCUUUUUUUCCUCACACCAAGAAGGAAUAAAGCCAGCCCAGCAGCAUUACUUCAGACAGGUUCCAUUUCUGCAACAUUUGAUAUGUUUCACAGCUUUCAGUUACCUCACGCUGAGGAGCCUAUGAAAUUACUACGGCAGGCCACGUAUGGAAGAAAAAAAAA